GCUGCCGCUCGCACCUGCUGCUGGCGCCCGGUGCCGGUCCCGAUCGCUAGGCGCUGUCAGCGGGUGCAAGCGGCAGCUG
rnacentral:pre_miRNA from 1 species